rnacentral:rRNA from 1 species
UCUGGAAAGGCGCGCGAUACAGGGUGACAGCCCCGUACACAAAAGCGCAUGUGCUGUGAGCUCGAUGAGUAGGGCGGGACACGUGGUAUCCUGUCUGAAUAUGGGGGGACCAUCCUCCAAGGCUAAAUACUCCUGACUGACCGAUAGUGAACCAGUACCGUGAGGGAAAGGCGAAAAGAACCCCGGCGAGGGGAGUGAAAAAGAACCUGAAACCGUGUACGUACAAGCAGUGGGAGCACAGGUUUACCUGUGUGACUGCGUACCUUUUGUAUAAUGGGUCAGCGACUUAUAUUCUGUAGCAAGGUUAACCGAAUAGGGGAGCCGGAGGGAAACCGAGUCUUAAUUGGGCGUUAAGUUGCAGGGUAUAGACCCGAAACCCGGUGAUCUAGCCAUGGGCAGGUUGAAGGUUGGGUAACACUAACUGGAGGACCGAACCGACUAAUGUUGAAAAAUUAGCGGAUGACCUGUGGCUGGGGGUGAAAGGCCAAUCAAACCGGGAGAUAGCUGGUUCUCCCCGAAAGCUAUUUAGGUAGCGCCUCGUGAAUUCAUCUCCGGGGGUAGAGCACUGUUUCGGCUAGGGGGCCAUCCCGGCUUACCAACCCGAUGCAAACUGCGAAUACCGGAGAAUGUUAUCACGGGAGACACACGGCGGGUGCUAACGUCCGUCGUGAAGAGGGAAACAACCCAGACCGCCAGCUAAGGUCCCAAAGUCAUGGUUAAGUGGGAAACGAUGUGGGAAGGCCCAGACAGCCAGGAUGUUGGCUUAGAAGCAGCCAUCAUUUAAAGAAAGCGUAAUAGCUCACUGGUCGAGUCGGCCUGCGCGGAAGAUGUAACGGGGCUAAACCAUGCACCGAAGCUGCGGCAGCGAACGUAUCACCCAAGACAACUUUACGGAGUUGACGAUUGACGGAGCGAAGCGACGUCAAAGCGUUCAUUAAAGUCGAGUUGGCUUAGGGAUACGUUCGUUGGGUAGGGGAGCGUUCUGUAAGCCUGUGAAGGUGUGUCGUGAGGC